AACUAAUUUACAAGAAAAAGUUAAAGCGAACGUUCGAUUUGUUUUCAAUAUAGAUAAUUUUAUAACGGGUUCUCUCGAGCGUUGCCGAGGCGGCAUGCCAUCGGUCAUGUCAUUCGGCGUUAGACUGCGAGGUAGUUGUUAAUACGUAAUGAACUUUGAACUACGAGAAUAUUAAUUUGCCUAUUUCUUUUGUAAAACGCGUUAAUAAGAUUAAUCUGGAUCCUGAUUCAAUAUUAAUAUAAUCAGCAUAAUAAUCAAUUGGAAAUACACUGGAGAAAUCCCCGUCUUAGGGGACCCUGCUCCGCAUUGCGAAGACCCUACUCCGCAUUGUCUCCACUCUCCACCCGCUUGCCACGCGAAGACCCUGCUCCGCAUUGUCUCCACCCGCUUGUCACGCGAAGACCCUCGCCUUGUUCCACGGUUGCCAGGGGAGUAGUCCAUCAAUCCCUUGAGUGGCAGUAUCAUUUUAUUUAAGGCCAUUAUACCACGUCCCUUACAAAUUUGUGUCUCAUUGCGACACUGGCGCCCUACGUGGUUUAAAUUGAUUCUGUCACUUUUGGAGGUGGUAGCGGAUUGUUCGUGUCUUGUUUGUGUCUCGUUUUGUCUAUUGUGAUCAACUGUGUUGAAAUCUGGGCAAGUUGUGGGUUUUUAUUCUAAAAAUUGUGUCAUUGUGUAUGUUUUGUCUUAUUAUCUAUGUGAACUACUGUAUGUUUCUGUUUUCUUGUGAACUGAUAUAAUGUUAGAUAUAAAAUAUUACUCAGCAUAAAAGAGAACUAUUUUAUA